ACAGGUGAACGGGGCCCCCCUGGACUGGCUGGUGCCAUUGGUCAGCCUGGUCGACCUGGAACCAUCGGUGGCCCUGGACCAAUGGGAGAGAAGGGAGAGCCAGGAGAUAAGGGUCUGAUCGGACCCGCAGGACAGGAUGGUGACCAGGGGCCCGUGGGAUUACCAGGAGCCGCUGGACCUCCAGGACCCCCAGGAGAGGAUGGAGACAAGGGAGAAACUGG